GACGAACGCUGGCGGCGUGCUUAACACAUGCAAGUCGAACGGAAAGGCCUGCUUUCCCUUGUGGGUUGCGGGUACUCGAGUGGCGAACGGGUGAGUAACACGUGAGUGAUCUGCCCCCAACUUGGGUAUAAGCCUGGGAAACUGGGUCUAAUUCCCGAUAGGACUGCAGGGUGGUGCCUGUGGUGGAAAACGAUUUUCUAGUGGUUGGGGAUGAGCUCGCGGCCUAUCAGCUUGUUGGUGGGGUAAUGGCCUACCAAGGCGGCGACGGGUAGCCGGCCUGAGAGGGUGGACGGCCACAUUGGGACUGAGAUACGGCCCAGACUCCUACGGGAGGCAGCAGUGGGGAAUAUUGCACAAUGGGCGGAAGCCUGAUGCAGCGACGCCGCGUGGGGGAUGACGGCCUUCGGGUUGUAAACUCCUUUCGACCGCGAGGAAGCCACCUGGUUGGAAGGGUGGUGACGGUAGUGGUAGAAGAAGCACCGGCUAACUACGUG
rnacentral:rRNA from 1 species